UACGUAGGGUGCAAGCGUUUGUCCGGAAUUAUUGGGCGUAAAGAGCUCGUAGGCGGCUUGUCACGUCGGAUGUGAAAGCCCGAGGCUUAACCUCGGGUCUGCAUUCGAUACGGGGCUAGCUAGAGUGUGGUAGGGGAGAUCGGAAUUCCUGGUGUAGCGGUGAAAUGCGCAGAUAUCAGGAGGAACACCGGUGGCGAAGGCGGAUCUCUGGGCCAUUACUGACGCUGAGGAGCGAAAGCGUGGGGAGCGAACAGG
rnacentral:rRNA from 1 species